UGUGUGUGUGUGUGUGUGUGUGUGUGUGUGUGUGUGUGUGUGUGCGCAUGUAUAUAUAUUCAGAUACAAAGAUGGAUGUACAGACAUAUAAACCCCCUAUUUCCCUAUUUAUUCUCACAUUUAAAUACAUACACACACAAGCUGUGCAUGUACAAGCUGGCAUCCGAUAACUGGAAGUCCCAAACUUUACAUGAAAUCCGACGGCAUUCUUAGUAUAGAGUAACAUAAUCCAGUGUAAAUCCAAUGUAAACGUCCAGUUAUUAAAGGUUAAAAGAAAAACCCAGAAAAUGUCAUUCCGGCAUGUAUUCAUGUAUGUAAACAACAAUCUCUGGAUUAUUGUCCGAUAGCCUGAUGAGUUUAAUAAGGUAAAGUCCAGGGUUAACACUCGAAUGAAAUUAUACACACACACAAACACACACACAUCAUUGUCUCCAUAUCAGCAAUAACAAGUAACUGAUUCUAAUCUAGGCAGAACAGAAGGCCAGUAAUUUUGAGGAGUGGUUGCUAUCAUAACAACAACAAGAAGAACGAUUUUAUAUUUAGGUACAUGGACAGCAUUUUGGAGAGUGAAGCGGGUUGGCGGAUUACAGAUGCAUCCGUAUUUUAUCAGUGUUGCGUUUUUUUUCGGGAAAGACGAAAAUUAAAGUUGACUACGGUGCGAUUUGAACUCGGAAACGUAAAAGGGCUAUAUGAUGUUAAUGGCAAUAAUGAUAAUAAUAACAACAACAACAACAACAACAACAACAACAACAAAAACAACGAUGACGGUGACAACUGUAACAACAACAAUACUAAUACGUUUCAAGCGUUGGAAGCCAUUCUUACAGCUUCGAAAAACUGUGUAGUUGAAAAAGCUAUGACUUAUAUAACAUCGUUGUUCUUUUCUAAAGCCAAAAAAAUUCCGUCUGUAUGUGCGCGCGCACACACACACACACACACACACACACACACGAAAUACAUAUGUGGAAAUACAGAAAUAGAACUAGCAAAUUUAUGUUUUUUUAAACCUGACAUCUACCAUACCGAUGCAUGCAAAAACUGUUUAUUGAACAAGAAAAUUUGCAUUCAAUGCCAGGUUAAUUACAGAUAAUAACAAUAAUAAGAAUAACAAAUAGUAUCAACAGUUUGGUUGAUGUGAAAAAUUGUAUGUGUAUGUGUAUGUAUAUAUAUAUAUAUAUAUAUAUAUAUAUAUAUAUAUAUAUAUAUAUAUAUAUAUAUAUAUAUAUAUAUAUAUAUAAUACAAAGAAUAGAUAUACAUGUAUACACACAUAUACGUACAUACUUACAUCUACAUGUGUAUAUAUAUGCAUAUCAGGGUACAGGACGUUAGAACAAUGAACUACAGACAACGGAACGAACACAUAGGAAAACGGAAAGCCACUUGGAAUAUUCCUUCAUCAGCUGUCUCUAUUCUAACUAGACGUUUCGAAGAUAGGACAGAAAGUACUCUUGAAUAGUCUCUUCCUGAGUAGUGGAUCAACCCACUACACAGAGGAUUCCAAGGUGGCAAACACAAACCAAGACAGGAAAAAUUGGACAGUGAAAACAACAUUCAAAAGCCGUACGGCCAAACGUGAAUCUGAGGUAGAACAUAUAUAUAUAUAUAUACACAUACACACAUUUACAUAUGUAUAUUUAUAUGUAUGGAUAUGUAAAACGAGAUUGUAUGUGUAUGUAUAAAUAUAUAUAUAUAUAUAUAUAUAUAUAUAAUACUACAUAUAACAUAUGCAUAUAAAUAUGCAUAAAUGUAUUUACAUAUAGAUACAUAUAUUAACAUACACCUACAAAUUAUACAUACACACACACACGUUUAUAUAUGUAAUUACAGACCAAUAUAAUACAAGCAUUUAUAUACAACUACAAACACACACACGUAUAUCAAAAUAUGCUUGUGUGUAUGUGCGUGUGUGUAUAUACUUAUCCAUAAUGAAUGGUGGAAAAAAAAAAUAAUAAUCCUAGUUGGAUAUAAAACACUUCGUUUGUGAAAAAAAAAUAUUGCUAUUUCCUGGAGGUUGACAAAUUGCAUUGUAACUUUUUUUUUUUAAUGUCUAAAUUCGACGAGUUAUCCAACUUCCGAAAUUUUUAUUGCGAAAAUAUUAUCAUUAUUAUUAUUAUUAUUAUUAUUAUUAUUAUUAUUAUUAUUAUUUCCUACACCUACUACUGCAACUAGUAAAUAUUUUAAUUUAAUGACAAUAAUAUACAUUACUCCCGAAUUUUCAAUGUAAUAAUAAAUGACACUGAUUUUAAUGUAAUAUAGAUUAGAUAUACUGCGUGUGUGUGAUAGUACAAGUGUGUAUAGAACGAAUGUAUAAAGAGCAAUGUAUAAUUUGUAUGAAAUCAAAUAAUAAAAAAAAAUAACAUCUUUUUUUGUCAAUAUGUAGACUGUCCACUUUC